GGGCAACAUGGGAAGAUCAGGUCCUCCAGGACCACAAGGACCCCCAGGGGAAGGUAUUCAGGGACCCAAAGGUGAUCAGGGGGCUCCUGGAGUGACAGGGCCGAGGGGCCCAUCGGGAGAGGGACUUCCAGGCUCCAAGGGUGAUCGUGGUUUGCAGGGCGAGAGGGGCUUUAAAGGAAUGAAAGGUGACAUGGGUG